rnacentral:rRNA from 1 species
AUGGCUUCCGCCGUCGCUUGCAAGGGUGCCGAGCCGGCCGGCCUCCUCAAGUCCGGUGCUCCCGUGGCCUUCUGCGCGCCCCACUGCCCCGCCGUCAACGCCGUCCGCCGCCCGUACAGCACCCAGGUCAAGGAGGUCAACCGCUACGACGACGACGACUAUAGCGACCGCGACCUCGUCAUCCCCAGCUCCUUCUCGCAGGACGUGCUCGACCCGCUCGGCGCGCUGACCAGCAUGGCCCGUCUGCUGUCUCUGAUGGAGGACGUUGCAGCUCAGACCGGCCUCUCCACUGCUGGGGCGUCGCGGCUCGGACGCUGGGUGGCCAAGGAGGACGACGAUGCGGUGUACCUCAAGGUGCCGAUGCCCGGGCUGACCAAGGAGCACGUGAAGGUGCGCGCGGACAAGAACAUCCUGGUGGUCGAGGGCGAGGGCGAGAAGCAGCCCUGGGACGGCGACGACGACUCCGCGGUGCCGAGGUACAACCGCCGCAUCGAGAUGCCCGCUGACGCGUACAAGUUGGACAAGAUCAAGGCCGAGAUGAAGAACGGCGUGCUCUGGGUGACCCUGCUCAAGGUGAAGGAGGAGGAGCGCAAGGACGUGUUCCACGUCAAGGUCGAGUAG